rnacentral:rRNA from 1 species
AGGGAACCGCCUGAACUGAAACAUCUAAGUAGGGCGAGGAAGAGACAUCAAACGAGAUUCCGUAAGUAGUGGCGAGCGAACGCGGAAGAGGGCAAACCGGGAGUAGAAAUACUCCCGGGGUACGGACUGCUUUUAGGACUUAAUCUGUUAACCGAACGGCAUGGGAAGGCCGGUCAGAGAGUGUGAGAACCACGUAGGUGAAAACGACAAGAGCUGAGCAAGUUCCAGAGUACGGCCAGACACGUGAAACCUGGUCGGAAGAUGGGGGGACCACCCUCCAACCCUAAAUACUACCCAGUGACCGAUAGCGUAUAGUACUGUGAAGGAAAGGUGAAAAGCACCCCGGGAGGGGAGUGAAAAAGAACCUGAAACCCUGUGCCUACAAGCACCUAGAGCACGUCAAAGUGUGAUAGGGUACUUUUUGUAGAACGGUCCGGCGAGCGAUUGUAUGCAGCAAGGUUAAGGACUUAAGGUCUGGAGCCGAAGCGAAAGCGAGUUUGAAAAGGGCGUUAAGUUGCAUAUAAUGGGCCCGAAACCGGGUGACCUACCCAUGGUCAGGUUGAAGUGGAAGUAAAAUUCCAUGGAGGACCGAACCGACCUCCGUUGAAAAGGCGGCGGAUGAACUGUGGGUAGCGGAGAAAUUCCAAUCGAACCCGGAGAUAGCUGGUUCUCCCCGAAAUAGUUUUAGGACUAGCCUCAAGUUAGAUACCUGGAGGUAAAGCACUGAAUAGCCUAGCGGCCGAGAGGUUAGCGAAGCUUAUCAAACUCAGAAUGCCAGAGUAUUGAUGCUUGGGAGUCAGACAGUGUCAGAUAAAUGUCAUUGUCAAAAGGGAAACAGCCCAGAUCUACAGCUAAGGUCCCAAAGUCAGGUUAAGUGGAAAACGAUGUGAAGAUACGCAGACAACCAGGAUGUUGGCUCAGAAGCAGCCACUCAUUCAAAGAGUGCGUAAUAGCUCACUGGUCGAGCGUCUUUGCGCGGAGAAUUUAACGGGGCUAAACCUGACACCGAAGCUUAGGCAAUCCAGCAAUGGAUUGGGUAGGGGAGCGUUGUAUACGCGGUGAAACAGUAGCGCAAGCGGCUGUGGAGUGUAUAGAAGUGAGAAUGCCGGAAUGAGUAGCGCGAAUGCAGUGAGAAUCUGCAUGGCCGAAAGCCUCAGGUUUUUGGAGGAAGGUUCGUCCGCUCCAAGUUAGUCGGGAGCUAAGGUGAGGCCGAAAGGCGUAGCCGAUGCACAGACGGUAGAGAUUCCGUCACCACCAAAAGAGUUAAGCACAGGGACACAUAAGAAGUCUCAGAGCCGGGUGUUGGUUCCGGUAGAGAUCGAGGGAAGUUAGUACCGAAGUCUGGGAUGGAAGAUGGCGAGAAAAGCUGUGUGUAUUUCUGAGGUGCCCGUACCGCAAACCGACACAGGUAGGUAGGAAGAAGAUUCUAAGGCCAACGGGAGAAGGGUUGUUAAGGAACUCGGCAAGUUGACCCCGUAACUUCGGAAUAAGGGGUGCUCAUGAAAGUGAGCCGCAGAGAAUAGGCCCAGGCAACUGUUUACCAAAAACACAGGUUUGUGCUAAAUCGAAAGAUGACGUAUACGAGCUGACGCCUGCCCGGUGCUGGAAGGUUAAGAGGAGAUGUGCAAGCAUUGAAUCGAAGCCCCAGUGAACGGCGGCCGUAACUAUAACGGUCCUAAGGUAGCGAAAUUCCUUGUCAGGUAAGUUCUGACCCGCAUGAAAGGCGUAAUGAUUUGGGCACUGUCUCAACAGCCCGCCCGGCGAAAUUGUAGUACCGGUGAAGAUGCCGGUUUCCCGCGACAAGACGGAAAGACCCCAUGGAGCUUUACUGUAGCCUAAUAUUGGGUUUCGAUGUUGCAUGCACAGGAUAGAUGGGACACUGGGAAACAAUCGCUUUGGCGGUUGCGGAGUGGCCGUUGGGAUACCAUCCUUGCGAUAUUGGAAUUCUAACCUGCGGCUCUGAAUCGAGUCGGGGGACAUUGUUAGGUGGGCAGUUUGACUGGGGCGGUCGCCUCCUAAA